rnacentral:rRNA from 1 species
AUUGAACGCUGGCGGCAGGCCUAACACAUGCAAGUCGAGCGAGCGGCGGACGGGGGAGAAUUGUAUGGGGACUGCCCGUUAGAGGGGGGUAACUACUGGAAACGCUGUCUAAUAUCGCACACUCCCUGAUAACCCCUAUGGGAUUAGCUCGUAGGUAAGGUAAUGGCUAACCUAGGCGACGAUCACUAGCGGGUCUGAGAGGAUGAUCAGCCACACUGUAACUGAGACACGGCCCAGACUCCUACGGAGGCAGCAGUGGGGAAUAUUGCACAAUGGGCGCAAGCCUGAUGCAGCCAUGCCGCGUGUAUGAAGAAGGCCCGAGGGUUGUAAAGUACUUUCAGUCGGGAGGCGUUACCGGCAGAAGAAGCACCGGCUAACUCCGUGCCAGCAGCCGCGGUAAUAC